UACGGAGGGGGCUAGCGUUGUUCGGAAUUACUGGGCGUAAAGCGCACGUAGGCGGCUUUGUAAGUUAGAGGUGAAAGCCCAGGGCUCAACCCUGGAAUCGCCUUUAAGACUGCAUCGCUUGAAUCAUGGAGAGGUGAGUGGAAUUCCGAGUGUAGAGGUGAAAUUCGUAGAUAUUCGGAAGAACACCAGUGGCGAAGGCGACUCACUGGACAUGUAUUGACGCUGAGGCGCGAAAGCGUGGGGAGCAAACAGG
rnacentral:rRNA from 1 species